UAUAUAAUGGGAGGAAUCACUGGGUUUCCAACGUGGAAGUGCAGAAGAAGCAGAGAGAAAGAGAGGAAGAAGGGAGGAAGAAAAAGGGGAAACACAAAGAAAAAGAGGAAGAUCGAUCGAGAUCUCCCUUGCGUUGUUCACAGUUGAAGAAAUUGUAGAGGAGAACGAGAGAAACCCGACGGUAUCACAAGUUUCAGGGUUUCAGCACAUCUAAUUUUUUUUCGUGGAGGUUGAAGAAGAUCGAAGUGGUUUCCAGUUGCUUCAGUUAUUCCUCUGGGUGGUGGAGUCUUAGCGUGUUUAAAAAGUAUUGACAAUUCAAGAUGCCAAAGGAGAGAAGGGAUAGGUCUUUGUCACAUGAAAGUAGCAGAGCAUCACCUUACCCGAGCAGCUCUAGUCGAGUUGGAAGAUCUGCUCUUAGAGAGUCAGAGGAAAACGUUAAAGAAUGGGAAGAUGCCAGGUGUCCAGUGUGCAUGGAACACCCUCACAAUGCUGUUCUCCUUAUAUGUUCAUCCCAUGAGAAAGGAUGCCGCCCUUACAUGUGUAACACUAGCUAUCGCCACUCAAACUGUCUUGAUCAGUUCCGCAAGUCAUUUUCUGACACCACACCAACCAUUGCUCAAGUAGAAAGUCAAAUUUCUAACACUGUCGAUAGUAUAAUUGAGGUGCCAGAAGACAGAAAUGAGGAGGUGACUGUCCAAAGUGGAAUUAAUGUACCGGAAGACAUAAGUGAGGUGACUGUCCAAAGUAGAAUUGAUGUGCCUGAAGACAGAAGUGAAGGUUUGGUUACAAUGCAAGCCUUAUCCUGUGACAAUGAGGCAAAGUCAAAGUUAGUAUGCCCUCUAUGUAGAGGGCAAAUAAAAGAGUGGAAAGUAGUGGAGGCGGCUCGGCAUUUUAUGAAUGAAAAAUCAAGGAGCUGUUCUUGUGAGACUUGCAACUUCAGUGGCACAUACCCAGAUCUUAGAAAGCAUGCAAGACUUGAACAUCCUCUAGAGCGCCCAUCUGCAGUAGACCCAGAACGUCAGCGUAACUGGAGGAGGUUAGAGCGGCAGAGGGAUCUCGGUGACCUCCUUAGCACACUUCAAACUUCAUUUGGGGUUGAUGAUCCCAUAGAUGAUGGUGGUCUGCUAGCUGUGUUUUUCCUCAUUCUUCAACCUGCUUCUGUGUCCAGGGGCACCACACUCCAGAUGCGAAUAAGAAGACCAGCGACACUCUGGGGGAAAAUUAUGAUGGACAGUCUGGAUCUGAUGAUGCAAACGAAUCUUCAGAUGGAGGCUCUGAUAAUAGACCUCAUCGUGGUCGGGGACACCGGACUCCUCCGCCGUGACUUGCAAAUCAUUCAUCAUACUGGCUUGCUCUUCUCUCACCCUUUUCUGCCUUUCCAGAUGCUCAUCAAUACACGUCGGAUAUUGAUUGUUUAUCAGUAUAUUUAAUAUUUCUGCCAUCCUUCCAAAACGAUUGAGCUUGAAAUAAAAUUUACCGUUGUGCCAGUGCCUUUCUUUACUAGCCCAUCUUGCUUCUUUCUUCUUGCUUCUUGCUCCAUGCAAGGCUAAAAAAGAAGAGAAAAACAUAGUGUGAGGUGUGAAGUGGAACCUGGCUUUUAAGUCUGAGCAGGAACAAGUUUGUUUAGUUCAACAAUGGCUGGCUUUCUAGAGUAGCAGAAGAGAAUUUCAGCGAGUAUUUUUUAUUUUUCUAAAUUAUGAAAGAUUUAUGAUGAAUGUCUUUUGGGUAUAAA